AAGUUUUGAGUCUUGCAAUGAAAUUUGUCAGUUCCAUCAAGUGUGGAAUGCAAAAUUUGAUCUAUGAGAGUUGUCGGUUUCAAAUUUGGAAUUGUUCCACAUAUUUGAGGUCUUUAGUUGUUAGUCUAUAAUAUUUUUUAGUCUUUGAGUUGAUUUUAAUCGACAUUCGGAGUUUAGGUGUUCGGAUCCGAUUUUCAACUAUUUGAUUGGGUUCGGGGGUUUAUUUUAGGCGUAGAAUAGGUCUUCGUUGAUUUUCAUAGGUCUCAAGCUUAAUUUCUUCUUUUUAGUCAUUAUGUUAGAUCUGCAACUUUGCCCUAUUCACGAUAGUUUCACGUAGCUCUGCCCUAUUCAUGAUAGUGCUUCACAUAGCUCUGCCCUAUUCUCCAGCUUCAUAGGUUUUGACAGAAUUGAUCAUAUCCUCCACUUUGGUGUCUUCAUCAUAUAAACGUUCUAUUUCCCAGGUCAUACGGAAUGGUGUUCGCAAAUUUAGCUUAUGAACUAUUUUAGUAUGGAAAAUCAUUGUGGAAAUUCUUUGAAGACAUUAUUUUGUUGGAUUGGUUAUAUAAUGAUAUUAGAUACUUCAUUCAAAUAAGUUUAAUUUUUGAGUUUUGAUACUAUA